UAAAAUAAUAAACUGCUGCUGGAAAGAGCCGAGCCACUGGCCGGAGUGAGGAAGAGAAAGGGAUAAAAAAAAAAAAGAAACGCUGAGGAAGAAAAAUAGUUGGUACUCUACUCAAAGGUUCCUCAAAGCAGUGUGAAAGAGGAAGAGAGAAGAGGAAGAACAACUGCUCCCAUUACCACUCUGCAAGGAGAUCUGCAGUGGACAGGAACUUCUCUGCAGAGCUCCAUGACAUAGAGACCAGCUUGCCAGACUCUCUCUCCAGGAUCGUGAUUCUGAUCAGGGGCUUCAAUCAUUGGACACGUGGCCUGGGGCUCCAGAGAGGAGAAGGAGACAUUCUUUCACUAACUGGCCCUGCCUUGGCUGUGAAUAGAAGGGUGUGAGAGGGAGUCCAGGCUGGGGCAGGGGGCAAGUAGUAGGGCUAAGACUGCAUGCCCCUGUCUCUCUCUGUGAGAGUGUGUCUGAUGUGUGUUUGCGUUUCCUCUGCAGUGUGUUAGCAUUACCUUAGUAAGAGAGGAAUGAGAGGUCGGCAGACCAUGUGCCUCUUUGUGUUGCCUCCUGUCACCUGAGUGUGUUUGUGUGUGUGUGCAAGGAUAGUGUGUUUUGUAUCUGAGUAAUUGAGAACAAACACUCGUCCCUACCACGGGUUGGAGUGUAAACCUCUUCCUUAGUGACCGGAGAAGCAGUGGAAGAAGGGAGAGAAAAAGGGAAGGAAUAAGAGGAAAAGCUUGAACAUUUCUUCAGAUUCUCAAUCUUUCCACCUCAGUCUACAAACCUCUCGACAGCACUUGGAUAGUUCCCUCCAGUCUCCAGACCUCUACCCUGACCCCUGGAAUUCUAUCCCAGCUCAAGGACUUCUUCCCCAGCCUACAGACCACCUCAGACAGCCUGUCACCUCCUACAUCCCACCCAGCCUCAGCCCAGCUCUCAGGAUAUCUAACCCCAGGCUUGAGACAUGACAGCAGGAUAGCUACGGCUCCCUUCUUAGCCUGUGUUCCAUCGAGGAGGAUGCUUCUAUCAUCUAGCCGAGCAGGGCGAACACACACACUGACACACACAUGGCGACUAGGGAGAUGAUGUAGAAGUGAGGGUGAGGGGGAGGAGACUCAUCCUAGAGCCGAAGAUGAUUGGCUGGAACUUCACCUUGCAAGAGCUCCUCAGGAAAUUUGAAGAGGAUAUCCAGGCAGAGAUCGAUGCCCAUAAUGAUAUCUAUAAGAGUGUGGACGGGAAUAAGCCCAAGAUGGUCAAGUCCCUGGGGACGUCUGAGGAGGCAGUGUUUCUGCAGCACCGACUGGACGACAUGAACCAGCGCUGGAGCGACCUCAAGACCAAAUCUGCAAACAUACGGGCUCACCUGGAGGCGAGUGCGGAGCGUUGGAGUCGUCUUCAGAGCCUGCUGGAGGAGCUGUGGAGGUGGAUCUGUCUGAAGGAGAAGGAACUGGCCAAACAGAUGCCCAUAGGAGGAGAUGUCCCCACCCUUCUGCAGCAGCACAACCACUGCAAGGUGUUGUGGUCGGAGCUGAAGGACCGCGAGCAUGUUGUGGCCAAUACACUGGACCAGGCACACACAUUCCUGGCUGACCAGUCCAUCGAGGGGCCGGGAGAACCAUGCAAGGACCUACAGCCCAAAACAGACCUGACUCCAGAGGAGAAGGUGCAGGGUGUGGCCAGGGCCAUCAGGCAGCAGACAGCAGAGGUGCAGGAGCGUUGGGAGCGUCUGCAGGACCACGCUGGUGGAUGGCAGAGUCAGGUAGAAAGGGCAUUUGAGAGGCUACAAGAGCUCCAGAGCAACAUGAACCAGCUGGACCUGCGGCUAGCCAGGGCAGAAGAGACCAAGGCUGGCUGGCAGCCUGUAGGAGACCUGCUCAUAGACUCACUGCAGGAACACAUAGAGAAGACCACGGCUUUCAAGGAAGAGAUGGCCCCUCUGAGGCAGGAUGUGAAUGUGGUGAAUGAGCUGUCUGGUGAACUAGCUCCUCUGGAUGUGCAGCUGUCCUCCACCUCCUCCAGGCAACUGGAUGACCUCAACAUGCACUGGAAACUACUACAGGUGGCCAUUGAAGAGAGACUAAAGGUCCUUCAGGAAGCCCACAGAGACUUUGGCCCUUCCUCUCAGCACUUCCUAUCCACCUCUGUGCAGCUCCCGUGGCAGAGGGCGCUCUCUCAGAAUAAGGUUCCGUACUACAUCAACCACCAGACUCAGAGUACCUGCUGGGACCAUCCAAAGAUGACAGAGCUCUACCAAUCGCUUGCCGACCUAAACAACGUGAGAUUUUCCGCUUACAGAACAGCCAUGAAAAUCCGCAGGCUACAGAAAGCACUAUGCUUGGACCUGUUGGACCUGAAGGUGGCCCAGAGCACCUUUGAACAACACAAGCUUACCCAGAAUGCCCAGCUGCUGACAGUGCCUGAUGUGAUCAACUGUCUGACAUCCAUUUAUGACGGGCUGGAGCAGCAGCACAAGGACCUCGUCAAUGUUCCGCUUUGUGUCGACAUGUGUCUCAACUGGCUGCUAAAUGUCUAUGACACUGGACGCAGUGGGAAGAUUCGUGUCCUGUCCAUGAAGAUAGGAUUGCUCUCGCUCUCCAAGGGCCAUCUGGAGGAGAAAUACAAAUACCUGUUCAGUCAGGUGGCAUCGUCAGGGGAUAAGUGUGACCAGAGACAGCUGGGUUUGUUGCUCCAUGACGCUAUCCAGAUACCACGGCAACUAGGAGAGGUCUCCGCAUUCGGAGGGAGCAACAUCGAACCCAGUGUCCGGAGCUGCUUCCAACACGUGACCAAUAAGGUGGAGCUGGAGCCCAGGCAGUUUGUUGAUUGGAUGAGACUGGAGCCCCAGUCUGUGGUGUGGCUUCCUGUGCUACAUAGAGUGGCGGCUGCUGAGACCGCCAAGCACCAGGCCAAGUGUAACAUCUGUAAAGAGUGUCCCAUUGUGGGGUUCAGGUAUCGCAGUCUGAAGCACUUUAACUAUGACGUGUGUCAGAGCUGCUUCUUCUCUGGACGAACCGCCAAGGGCCACAAGCUCAACUACCCCAUGGUGGAGUACUGCACGCCGACCACGUCAGGUGAGGACAUGCGUGAUUUCACCAAGGUGCUGAAAAACAAGUUCCGCUCCAAGAAGUACUUUGCCAAGCACCCCCGUUUGGGCUAUUUACCAGUCCAGACUGUUCUUGAUGGAGACAAUAUGGAGAUUCCCGUCACUCUCAUCAGCAUGUGUCCGGAGCAGUAUGAGCUUUCCCAGUCACCCCAGCUCUCUCAUGAUGACACUCAUUCCAGGAUAGAGCAGUAUGCUAGCAGACUGGCUCAGAUGGAACGCUCCAAUGGUUCUCUGCCCACUGACAGCAGCUCAACUACAGGAAGCAUGGAUGAUGAGCAUGCUAUGAUCCUGCAGUACUGCCAGAACCUAGGGGGGGAGGUGUCUCCCUGCAGCCAGCCCCAGAGCCCUGCCCAGAUCCUACAGGCCGUGGAGAGAAAGGAGCGGGGAGAGCUGGAGCGAAUCAUCCAGCGUCUGGAGGACGAGCAGUGGACCCUGCAGAGGGAGUAUGAGCAGCUGAAGGAGCAGCAUGGGGGUCAGCGGGGGCCUGGUUCUGUGGGGCUCUGGGACCCUGAGGGGUCAUCUCACCCCAGGGGUCCUGAUGAUGCUGACCUGCUGGCUGAGGCCAAACUGCUCUGGCAGCACAAGGGCCGUCUGGAGGCCCGCAUGCACAUACUGGAGGAGCACAACAAACAGCUAGAGUCCCAGCUCCACCGGCUCAGACAGCUACUGCACCAGCCUCUUCUCGUCUUACUUGAUCCUCAAUCCCUCCUCUUGUUUUUUCCCCUCCUCCCUUGCCCUCUUUACUACUCCAUCUAUCUUUCAUCAUUUUUCCUCUCUCUCAGCCGGAGAUGGACUCCAGGGUGAAUGGAGUGUCGUCCCCCAGCAUGCAAGAGCGAAGGGCCCUCACCGAAAACACAGCUUCAAGCCUCUCUUCGAGACCACAGGUGAUGUGAGGACCCUCAGAAAGUUCCUUUCGGAGAGAGAGAGAGAAACAUUCCCAAACACACAGCUUAUACGCUCUCCCUUUUCUGGAGGACAGACGGAGAGCUAGAGCCUCUAGCAAGAGACCUCCCUAAAACCCAAAGACAUACAGAACUUUACUGCUAUUACCACGUCGUCAUCGUCUAGUACUAUGCAAAAUGUACAUUUUAUGAACUGUAGAUUGCACCUGGAGUCGGUUAAACAUUUGUCAGUGAUUUUUAAGAACAUGCCGAUUGUUAUGGAGUUCGGGGGCUUUGUAUAAGAGCAGAUGCUUUUUGGGAAUUAUUUUUGUUGCUUUUGUUUUGUUCUGCUUAAACUGGGAAUCAAACUGUUUACAUUGUUGUUAUUCCACUGCCUCCCUCUGCUUGUACCCUCUGCCGUCUCCACGAUGGACAUGUUCACUGUUUUUCUCUCUGAUUUGGGAAAGAGAAGGCCCAAUUUAAGAUUAUCGCCUCAAAUGGUCAUUUUAGACAAUCGGCUCUGUGUCAGUCCUUUGAAGCUUCACGUUUGUUUUUGAAAAUAUUUUUCCUCUUUAAAGCGUAAAUAAUGCUUUUCUGUCGGAGUUGUCAUGCCGGCCGCAAUUGCAAUGUGAACUUAACCUCUUCUGUGCCUAUACAGUUGUCACUCCAAGUGUGGCAGACUGGUUUACCGUUGUAGUAAUUAAUUUGGAUUGUUGUAUUAAGGCGUGAUAGUGGAAACAAUAAAUUAAUUUAAAUUUAAAGCUGUUCAGAAAUAAAUCGGAUUCGUAAGUGGCAAUUGUAAGAGGUCAUUGUGUAGAAUAGUUUUAUAAAUUGAUGUAAAAAAAUAAUAAGAAAGCCAUGAUUGCCUUGCUACCUCAGACACAAACACCUUUUCAUUUGCGUGGUCUGUAGCUUGUUUCAUUUCAAUUUUAUUGUACUCGUGACAAGAAAACGAACCGAAAAACAUUCUAAGUGUGUUGCUUAUAGAUGUGUACUGCUUUGGGGAGAUACCUAGUAGACAAAACACAUCCUAUUACUUUACCACCGAUGGGUCUGUGGCCUGCUGCCCAUCAUCAGUAUACUGUGUCUGUAUGUGUUGAUUUUCCCCUGUCAGACCUCUAGCACUGGUCUCUCUCAGAGUUAUGCGUCGUGUUUUGUGCUUUGCUAUCCUGUAAAACUUGUUCGUUUUAAUAACACUACUAUAACCUCCUCCAACUAUGUCCUUGGACUGAUGAUAGAGAUGAUGAUGAUGAUGGUCUUGCCUGAGGUAUGCGGUGUAAAUUGACCACACUACAUGUAAGGCUACAUAUGUUUUAUUCUAAAUACAUUUUUAUAACAGCUGUUCU